AUGGCCGCCAUCGUCGAGAACGUCAUGGGCUGGCGCCCCGGCGGUGUAAAUUCCGUGGCAAGUGCCGCCUCCCUCGCCCCCGCCGUUGACUACGACGGCGAGGACCGCAUCAGCGCCCUCCCCGACGACCUCCUCCGCAGCAUCGUCUCACGCCUCCCCGUCAAGGACGCCGCCCGCACCUCCUCCCUCGCCUCCCGUUGGCGCCACCUCUGGCGCUCCACCCCGCUCUCCCUCAACGACGCCGACCUGCCCCGAUCCAUCGUCGCCCGCGUCCUUUCCGACCACCCGGGCCCCUUCCGCGCCAUCCACAUCACCCGCUGCCGGUUCGCGUCCCACGAGCGCGAGAUCGCAGAGUGGCCGCGCCUCUUCGCUGCCAAUGGCAUCCAGGACCUCGUCCUCGUCAACGACGCCGACCUCGCCAGGUUCCCCCCCGACGCCGUGCGCCUCCCCGCGGACAUCCUCCGCUGCGCCUAG
rnacentral:rRNA from 1 species